rnacentral:tRNA from 1 species
UCAUCUCAAGGCUGCGGGUUCGAGCCCCGCGUGGGGCUGCCCUGCUAGCUCAAUCGGUAGAGCGUGAGACUUUUACA